rnacentral:sRNA from 1 species
CCUAGGACUUCCGUCCUAGGCUAUGAUAAUUCAUCCCUUCGGGAUU